AAGAAAAUGAAAAAGGAAAAGGAAACUUUGAAAGAAAUCCUCUAUUCCAUUUUCUCCUUUUGGUCAACGCCUACAGGAACCUCACCUCUACUAAGGAGCUGGCCUUGGAGUGUUGUUAGACUGAGCCACUGCUGCAUGCUGUUUGUGCAAAAUGCUGGCAAGAAGAAUAUCGAGGUCUUAUGGAAGUACUUGAAACCCCCUGGCUGGAGACACUGGAUGAUGUUGACUCAACCCCAAUCCUAUACCUAAGAAGUGACAAACCCGAGGUAAGCCAGCUUUCUUGGAAUAAGCAGACAAAUUAGAACCCCGGUAACCAUGGUAUUACACAAUCUUUGUAUGUGAUAUCAGACAACCCACAUUAGUGCAUGCGAGAGCGCUCCCACUUUGUGCUAGGCACUUCAGCACAUUACCUCAUUUGAACCUCACAGGGCUACAGAGGAGGUGCUGGCAUUAACUGCAUCUUACACAUGAGUAAGAGAGGCUUAGAUUGGAUCAGUAACUCAGCCAAGCAGAAGCAGGAUUUAAACCCAGGUUUAGAACGGGGAUUGGGUGGAAUGAGCAGAGCACUCCUCUGAGUGGGUGGCAAACAACUAAGAUAAAUAAUUAUCAAGAUAAAUAAUAUUUGAUUUCGAUAUUUUUUAAGCACCUAAGUGAAUGCAAAAUAUCCAUGAUAAAUGAAUGGUCAUGAUUUUAAAUAAAGACAGAUUGCUGUUGGUGGUUUGUUUUACA
rnacentral:lncRNA from 12 species